AAAAAAGCAGAAAUAUAACUAUGAAACGGCAUAAAUCACUUGUAGUACAUUCACUUGCAGUCCAUAAAUGUAUGCAGAGGGUUAGCAAAAGUUAACAAUAAUUCACAGCUUCCUUUGGAAUUUGCCGAGCCUUCCUCCUUUCUAAUUCAAUGGAUGGUCAAUUUCAACCUAUCUUGUUUUCUCUAUACAAAUAAGCUGAAGAAUGUCUCCG
rnacentral:misc_RNA from 1 species